rnacentral:tRNA from 1 species
AGCCUCGUAGCUCAGUUGGCUAGAGCGUUGGCUGUACUAAAGCCUUCCUCUUGCUGGCGUGGGUUCGUAUCCCAACGAGGCCG